CCACCUGAUCCCAUGCCGAACUCAGAAGUGAAACGCCGUAGCGCCGAUGGUAGUGUGGGGUCUCCCCAUGUGAGAGGAGGGAACUGCCAAGC
rnacentral:rRNA from 1 species